CCCGCCGCCGCCCUCACGAGGGCCGCCGGGCUGCCCCUGGCCCCACACCGCCCCGCCGCGCUCACUUCUUGUCAGGGCAGAUCCAGUCUCCGUCACUGACUCGGAAAUUCUUGGUCGACAUCUUGGACGCCAGCAGCACAGCCGCCCGCAGCGACGUCCCCACCGGAGCCGCGGGGCCUCGCGCCGGGCUGUCCGCGCUCCGCCGGACCCGCCCUCCGCUGUGGGGGAGGGCAGACGACGGAGGCCACCCGGCCGCGAGCCUGGCGCCGCCGUGCGGAGACCACGCCCGAGAGCCCGCUGCUCGGCCCGAGGCUCUGCCCCGAUGCGGCCUCACCGCGUUCCUGAGCAGGCGCCGCGGGGACAGCCCGGCCUGGUGGCCAUCAUAGCGCCGCGCGGGCCGUCAUAGCGCCGCAGGCACAGCAGAGAGACCGGCAGACCAAAGGACCCCAGAGAAACGCACUUCCGCCUCCGGGGUGGGGCUAGGGUCGCAGAGGCGGAAGUGACUCGCAGGGCUGGGAAGCAUGGGCUUUGGCGUUGCCUAGGGUUCACUGGGGCGAGCGAGAAGCAAGCAAUCCUUGGGUUGGCACUACAGGCUCAGUCUUGCGUAGCACUCACUGUUUAGAGACAGAUGCAGGGGGAAACAGAUCUGCUCCAGGACCAGCACCCACCUCUUACCUGAAUCACAUCACAGCACAGAUCAAGAAAUGCAGGCUCAAGGACAUACACAGUGUCACAGCUACUGAUUUGUGGAGAUAAAAUCCGAUUUCUUAGUGUGAGACUCAGUGCCAUUUGGCAGUGGCUCUUCCCUGAUUGCCUUUUGUAUCUGGCUGCUGAUUUUCCUAUUAUCUCUCCACUGUUAAUCAGAAAUAUAUUCUUGCCAGCCUAUCCCAUCUCCCCUCAGUCCAGGAUCCACUCCCUCUCUGUCUUCCUUCAGAAAAGAGUAGACUUCCAAGAGGCAACAAUGAAACAUGACAAAACAAAAUACAGUAAGACAAGGCAAAAACCUUCA